rnacentral:rRNA from 1 species
AAUGAACGUUGGCGGCGUGGAUUAGGCAUGCAAGUCGAGCGAGAAGGAUCCGGUGCUUGCAUUGGAUCUGGAAAGCGGCGAAAGGGAGAGUAACGCGUAGGGCACCUACCCUCAGGCCUGGAAUAGCGGCGGGAAACCGCCGGUAAUACCGGAUAAUGUCCCCGGACCAAAGGUGAGAUUCCGCCUGAGGAUGGCCCUGCGUCCUAUUAGCUUGUUGGUGGGGUAACGGCCUACCAAGGCUUUGAUGGGUAGCGGGCGUGAGAGCGUGGCCCGUCUCACUGGGACUGAGACACUGCCCAGACACCUACGGGUGGCUGCAGUCGAGAAUCUUCCGCAAUGGACGCAAGUCUGACGGAGCGACGCCGCGUGCGGGAUGAAGGCCUUCGGGUUGUAAACCGCUGUCAGUGGGGUGGAAAUCUAUCGGGGCUAUCCCCGGUAGUUGACCUAACCGCAGAGGAAGUCCGGGCUAAGUACGUGCCAGCCGCCGCCGUAACAC